UACGAAGGGGGCUAGCGUUGCUCGGAAUCACUGGGCGUAAAGCGCACGUAGGCGGACUCUUAAGUCAGGGGUGAAAUCCUGGAGCUCAACUCCAGAACUGCCUUUGAUACUGGGAGUCUCGAGUUCGGGAGAGGUGAGUGGAACUGCGAGUGUAGAGGUGAAAUUCGUAGAUAUUCGCGAGAACACCAGUGGCGAAGGCGGCUCACUGGCCCGAUACUGACGCUGAGGUGCGAAAGCGUGGGGAGCAAAAGGG
rnacentral:rRNA from 1 species